rnacentral:rRNA from 1 species
AGGGUUUGAUUAUGGCUCAGAACGAACGCUGGCGGCGUGCUUAACACAUGCAAGUCGAGUGCGCGUCUGUAGCAAUACAGAUGGCGCACGGCGCACGGGUGCGUAACACGUGGGCAAUCUGCCCUUCGAUGGGGAAUAACUCCGGGAAACCGAAGCUAAUUCCGCAUAACAUUCCUUGGACCUCGGUUCGAGGACUCAAAGCCGUAAGGCGUCGAAGGAGGAGCCCGCGCCCGAUUAGCUAGUUGGUGAGGUAACGGCUCACCAAGGCAAUGAUCGGUAGCUGGUCUGAGAGGAUGGCCAGCCACACUGGAACUGAGACACGGUCCAGACUCCUACGGGAGGCAGCAGUGGGGAAUCUUGCGCAAUGGGCGAAAGCCUGACGCAGCGACGCCGCGUGGGGGAUGAAGCAUCUCGGUGUGUAAACCCCUUUCGACUGGGACGAAUACCUCGCAAGAGGGGUGACGGUACCAGUAGAAGAAGCCCCGGCUAACUACGUGUCAGCAGCCGCGGUAAGACGUAGGGGCCAGCGUUGUUCGGAAUUACU